AUACAAUAGAAAAAAAUUGAAUCUGCCUGGAGUUAGAUGACCUUGUUGGAGAAUGUAGCUCUGCUACUUGGUAGGGGAUCUUGGAAGAGUUUCAGCAGAGAUAUUGCCAUAAUUGGCAAGGAAGAGUCCCAAUGGAACAUUACCACUGGCUACACUCAUUAAGGCAUGAGCCUCCUAAGAACAAAAUCAAUAGAAGACAUCAGUCUGUUUGAAGUGUCACUGCUAUGAAAAAUGGAGAUAGUUCCUAAGAAGCUAUGUUAACAAACAUCUGUAACUAUAAGAUUUCAUCAUAUUCAUCUCUUCUUUCCUCAUUUCUUCUGUAAACAAAGGAAAAUGGUCUUUUCUAUUUUUGUGUUCUCAAAAACACUCCUAUUCUACCAAAGUAGC
rnacentral:lncRNA from 1 species